rnacentral:snoRNA from 1 species
AGCCCCUUGGCAAUGGGCAAGGAGACACCUGUUUGGUGGUGGUGCUCUUAUAUCAGUCAGGGGCAAAGCAGAGGUACAGUUCUUCAUUCAUCCUAGCUUAAUGCCUAUGUUGGAGGCCAGAUUGCUUCAUGCCUGAGGCACAUAA